rnacentral:rRNA from 1 species
CACUUACCUUCCCCCGUGUUGGUCGUCCGUUCGGUCCCCUACCCCGAACCGUAACCGUUCCGGGCCCGGCCGGUACCGGUUACCGGGUUUUAGGUAACUUCCCGGUCGGGUCCUUACGGAACGGAAACGAAAAACCGCGUUCGGGGCCGGGCGGUCGGUACCUUUAAACCAACUAGUCGAACGUAACGUACCGGGUAAACCGGGUUCCUUCCUUUCCGUUUACCGGGAAGGAAGUAAGUUAGGUCGGGGACCGGGGUACCGGGGUAGGUAAACGUAAACCGUAACGGUUUAGGUUACCGUACCGUCCCGCCCCCGUUCGGGGGUAGGGGGUAAAACUUAACCUUCCCGUAACGGAAAAGGGUAGGGUCGUAACUUAAACGUACCCGCAACGUACCGCUACCACGUAGGAGUUGUCCUGUGAGGAAACGCGAGAGUGACCGAGGGAGGGGACUGCGGCGGAUUAGCUAGUUGGUGGGGUAAUGGCCUACCAAGGCGACGAUCCGUAGCUGGUCUGAGAGGACGACCAGCCACACUGGGACUGAGACACGGCCCAGACUCCGUACGGGAGGCAGCAGUGAGGAAUAUUCCACAAUGGGCGAAAGCCUGAUGGAGCGACGCCGCGUGCGGGAUGAAGUCCCGUUUGGGGUGUAAACCGUCUUUUUAGGGGAUGAUACGUGUC